AGGGUGGGCAGGAAGCACAGGUAGCCUGGGGGAUGCUGCCAGGUGUCCAGCCAAGAGGAUGAGUCGAAUCCACAAACAGGAAACCAGUCAUGGUGUCAGAACCUCCAAGGCUUGGGGACAUGUUGGGAUGUAGGACAGGAAACGGGUUAAGGCAAGCGGCUCGGGAUGAAUGACCGAGGUAUUCUGGAGACCUCCUUCUCUGUGGAGUCUGUGCAGUGGGCCUGAUAGGCAAAGAAAAGGAAAGUCGGGAGCUCGGGGGAGGGGCAGGAAGAGGAUGGCGCUGGGGCAGGACACGUGCCCCAUCCCAGGGGGCAGCGGCUGCCCAGACCCUGCUCUCCUCUGCCGUGCGGCUGUGUGGCUACGCGGCCCCAGUGCCUCUGGAGCUUCCCAUUUUGCGAGAAAAGCAGGAAAUCCAGAUUUUUAUGUUCACUCUCCUGAAUUCUAAAUGCUGGCAACUAACUCAAAAUUUUCGCAAACACCCUGCAGGCCAAACACAACACAUUUGCAGGCUGAGCGGGCCCACAAGCUGCCAACUCUUGGCUUCCUGCUUAAAGGAAACCGGCAGAACCCGGAGUGUGUGAAAAACAAAAACAAAGCCCGUGAACGUCGUCCACGGUCCCCCCUGCUUUCCAGCACACACAAGAUAUUCCUGGAAAAGGCAUUUUGCAACUACUGCUAACAAAGACACGUUGGAUUUGACCUUCAGAGAAGCUAAGGGCUCUGGGUGCUGGAGCUGCCCCUGGUGGUCCCCCAAACCCACGGCCGUCUCCUCAAAGCGGGGCCUCCAGCUUCAUCGACAGGAUCUCAUUUUCUUGCCUCUCUCCAUCAGUCCCAUAGCAGGGCUCUUCAUAGUAAGGCGACCAGCCAAUAUCCACUGAGUGCUAACCACAUGCUGAUUGCUCCAGGAAACAUUCUACAUCCACCAGCUCAGGGCCUGUGGAUGGUAUGCAAGGUUGUUCUAGCUCAAUGCCUAAGAAUGGGAGGAACUAUGAGGAAAUCCCACGUGAACGUCAGCAUGACAUUGCUAUUAAUAAAUGCUUAUGAAUCCAGGUCAGUGGUGUCACUUUCAGGGCUUAGCAGCAUCUCCACUGAGAACCGGGAGUAAGUCUGGUUUCUGGAUGCUGUGUCCCAAGUACGCAACAAGUGAUCCCUUCACGUGUUCAUUCAAUCAGUUGGUUUACUGAGCACUUACUCUGCACCGACCACAUCAGGCACACUGUCCUCGCCUCUGGAAAUAAACCUGAGGCUAAGCCACAGUCCCAACCCUCAAGGAGUAUGCAGAAUGUGAGCACCUAUCUCUCAACCAGUGACCAACAGGCUGGAAGACCAACCUAUGCAAAGGCCGAUAUCUACCUGUUGUCCACUUAGCCUUGCCCCAGAGGUGAGGGCUGUUACAAUGCGCUGGAGGCCCCAUGGGCUGGUCACUCACCAGCUGAAUGGGCUGCCAUCUCUGAAAGUCACCUGGGUCCAGAAAUGUUCUCCCAAGGAAACCAUAGGUUAAAAUAUCUGGGACCAGAGGCUGGCACUGUGGUGUAAUGGGUGAGGCCUCCACCUGCAGUGCCAGCAUCCAAUAUGAGCACUGGUUUGAGUCCCAGCACUCCACUUCAGAUCCAGCUCCGCUAUGGAUGGGAAAGUAGUAGAGGACGGCCCAAGUCCUUGGGCCCCUGAACCCGUGUGGGAGACCAGGAAGAAGCUCCUGGGUUUGGAUCAGCACAGCUCCAGCUGUUGAGGCCAUUUGGGGAAGUGAACCAAUGGUGGAAGACUUUUCUCUCUCUCUCUCUCACUCACUCUCUCACUCUCUCACUCUCUAACUCUGCCUUUUUAAUAAAACAAAACAAAGCAAAGCAAAACAAAAACACCAGAGACUGACCAAAUGGGAGAUAAGAAGGCAGUAUGAAAUCACAGCAGGAUGAAAAGAUAGAAUGUUUCUUAAAGGACCCUGUGCAAACUUAUCAAAAGGUAUAAAACCCUCAGAUCACCUCUGCCAAUAGCUUCUUCUUCAGAAAAACCCCUAUCCCUGCACUGUGGGAGUUUUCUCCGUACUCCUUUCAAUAAACAUUACUUAUUCUUCAUUCAAGAAAAGGAAGGAAAGAAGGAAGAAGAAAGAAAAAGACAGGGAGAGAGAAAGAAGAUGUUUCCCAGCCAACACUCUGGCGUUGUUAUCAGGAAACUGACAUGGAGUGAUGUCAAAGAUGAUGGCCAGUGGGGGCAGGUGUCGCGAUGCCACGGGUGAAGCCACUGCUUGUGACACCUGCAUGCCUGGUUCAAGCAUCAGCUUUCCCGCUUCUGAUCUAGUUUCCUGCUAAUGCACUGUGGGAGGCAGCAGGUGAUGACUCAAGUGCUUGGGCCCCUGUCACCCAUGUGGGAGACCAGAUGGAGCUCCUGGCUCCUGGCUUCAGCCUGGCCCAGCCUUGGCUGUUGUGGCUAUUUGGAGGGUGAAAGAGCAAAUAGGGAGGUCUUUUUCCAUCUGUUUCUCUGUCUUUCUGUCUUUGUAUCUCUCUGCCUUUCAAAUAAAAUUAAAAUAAAUCAAUAAAAAUUAAAAAUAAAAGUGUGCAGUGCAUAUUCAUGGUUAAACUUGU